AGCCAGUGAUGUAAGAAAAUAUUUGCUACUCUUGAUGGGAUCAACCCAGUUGAUGAUUCUUAUCCACCAAGAUCUCUGAGGCU
rnacentral:snoRNA from 1 species